rnacentral:rRNA from 1 species
AACGAACGCUGGCGGCAUGCCUAACACAUGCAAGUCGAACGAGAUCUUCGGGUCUAGUGGCGCACGGGUGCGUAACGCGUGGGAAUCUGCCCUUUGGUUCGGAAUAACAGUUGGAAACGACUGCUAAUACCGGAUGAUGACGGAAGUCCAAAGAUUUAUCGCCAGAGGAUGAGCCCGCGUAGGAUUAGCUAGUUGGUGUGGUAAAGGCGCACCAAGGCGACGAUCCUUAGCUGGUCUGAGAGGAUGAUCAGCCACACUGGGACUGAGACACGGCCCAGACUCCUAGGGGGGGCAGCAGUGGGGAAUAUGGGAAAAGGGGCGAAAGCCUGUCCCAGAAAGGCCGGGUGAGUGAUGAGGGCUUUAGGGUUGUAAAGCUCUUUUCCCCGGGAUGAUAAUGACAGUCCCGGGAGAAUAAGCUCCGGCUAACUCCGUGCCAGCCGCCGCCGUAA